rnacentral:rRNA from 1 species
GAUGAACGCUAGCUACAGGCUUAACACAUGCAAGUCGAGGGGUAACGAGAGGAAAGCUUGCUUUCCUUGUCGACGACCGGCGCACGGGUGAGUAACGCGUAUCCAACCUGCCCCCAACUAGGGAAUAACCUUGCGAAAGUAAGACUAAUACCCUAUAAUUUCCUCAGAUGCCAUCUGACGAGGAAUAAAGAUUUAUCGGUUGUGGAUGGGGCUGCGUCUGAUUAGCUUGUUGGCGGGGUAACGGCCCACCAAGGCAACGAUCAGUAGGGGUUCUGAAAGGAAGGUGCCCCACAUGGGAAAUGAGACACGGGCCAAACGCCUACGGGAGGCAGCAGUGAGGAAUAUUGGUCAAUGGGCGGAAGCCUGAACCAGCCAAGUAGCGUGCAGGAGGACGGCCCUAUGGGUUGUAAACUGCUUUUAUACAGGAAUAAAGUUAGCCACGUGUGGUUAUUUGUAGGUACUGUAUGAAUAAGGACCGGCUAAUUCCGUGCCAGCAGCCGCCGUAA